AGAGUUUGAUCCUGGCUCAGAUUGAACGCUGGCGGCAUGCCUUACACAUGCAAGUCGAACGGGCUUUGGGGCUUGCUCCAAAGUUAGUGGCGAACGGGUGAGUAAUAUAUCGGAACGUACCCUUGAGUGGGGGAUAACAUAGCGAAAGUUAUGCUAAUACCGCAUACGAUCUAAGGAUGAAAGGUGGGGGACCGCAAGGC
rnacentral:rRNA from 1 species